rnacentral:rRNA from 1 species
GGGGGGACGGAGAAGGCUAUGUUAGCCGGGCGACGGUUGUCCCGGUUUAAGCAUGUAGGCUGGUUAUCCAGGCAAAUCCGGAUAAUCAAGGCUGAGGUGUGAUGACGAGGCACUACGGUGCUGAAGUAACAAAUGCCCUGCUUCCAGGAAAAGCCUCUAAGCAUCAGGUAACAUCAAAUCGUACCCCAAACCGACACAGGUGGUCAGGUAGAGAAUACCAAGGCGCUUGAGAGAACUCGGGUGAAGGAACUAGGCAAAAUGGUGCCGUAACUUCGGGAGAAGGCACGCUGGUGUGUAGGUGAAGUCCCUGCGGAUGGAGCUGAGACCAGUCGAAGAUACCAGCUGGCUGCAACUGUUUAUUAAAAA